GGAACGCGGCGGGGAGCGGAGGGACGAGGACAAUGCGAACGCUCACGGCGCGCAGCACGUGCCUGAGAGCCCCCAGCAGCUUGAUUCUGGGGGUUGGGACUCGCGGCCCACGGGGAGAGGGUGUUCUUCUUAACUUUCUUGAGGUUCUCUUUGUUGAUGACACCCGGGCCUCGGUCGGGGGCAGUAACCCCGAGGGAGGGGUCCUGAGAAUGAAUCGUAGCCCAGCGCUUGGCCUUGAACAGGAUAUUAGUGGAAAUAUUGCUGUGGUUGUCAGGAAACGCGAGUGCAGCCGCACAGCUACUGCCAGUUAUGCAGCGAGGAUAUCCGGUGGCUGCGAGGUCUGUAAUUUAGAAUAAGAAGCUCUCCCAACACCCGAGAGGCUGACCUCAGCGCCGCGUGGCGGUAAUGCGCUCAGCGCCCUCUGUGGAGACUGUCCAAGUCGUGACAGGUGGGAAAGCUUCAUGGUAGGUUAGACCUUAAAGAACCCUGCAGAAGUACCUGCGGAAUCAGACUGCAAAAGUGAGCUAGCCACUUACUAAACGUAGCUGAAGUAGAGGGUUUUCCAGGGCAGCCUGCUACUUCCACUUUGAGGUCUUUACAAAGUGGGUAAUUGACCGUUGUUCACCAAGCCAGAAGCAUGUAUCUGCAGUGCCAUGAGGCAGGAGGAUGAUCCAGGAUCACACAGCUGUCUUCUUAGAUAAAUCUGACCCACUCAGCCCUCU
rnacentral:lncRNA from 1 species